AAGAGCAGACUGACCUGGUACUGGUCCACUGGUUGCAUAUCCUUAAGUUAGUCAUUGCUGACAGGAUGCAUAUUGCCUACACAUCCUUAGGUUAGUAAUUGCUGACAGGAUAAAUUCCUUUAAUUUGUAAUGACUACAUUCCCACUCAUACAAAGUGAAGACAUUCAAGGGUACCCAGAAGAUCACUUGCCAAUUAGGCAAGGCACCUCAAUCCUCAAGGAACCUUCCAUAGACAGCCAGUCUAAAGAGGACUCCAUAUCCACUGCUCCAAGGAAGACCAACUCAAAGAGGGUCUCCAGCAGACUCCAUUUAUAACCCAGUUGAAUCUGAGCUGUGGUCAUUUAUGGUAGUGGUCCAGAAGUACAUCUGCCACAACACCUUAAAUGAGAGGAUCUUCCUAGUUGUCCCUGCGAACUGAGGCCUAGUGACAGACUGAAUCCAGCUCCGGUUGGCUGCAGAGUCCAAUCCAGGACAUCGGGUGCCAGCUCUGCAGUUGCUGAGACUUUCAAGAUUGGUUUUGUAUAUUUUAUAUUAUUUUCUCUAUUCUUAUUAGUAGCAUUAGUAAAACAUUUUUAUUUUUUUCCAA